rnacentral:tRNA from 1 species
GCGGGGGUGCCCGAGCAUGGUCAAAGGGGCGGGACUCAGGCUCCCGUGGCGUAGGCCUGCGUGGGUUCAAAUCCCACCCCCCGCACCA